GACGAACGUUGGCGGUGCGCUUUAUACAUGCAAGUCGUGCGCGAAAGGCCCCUUCGGGGGCCGGAGUAGAGCGGCGGACGGGUGCGUAACACGUGAGCAACCUGCCCUGGAGUGGGGAAUAACUCCGAGAAAUCGGGGCGUAAUACCGCAUGAUGUCGCAGCUCCGCAUGAAGCUGCGCUUAAAGUCGGCCUCUGCUUGCAAGCUGGCGCUCCAGGAUGGGCUCGCGGCCUAUUAGCUAGUUGGCGGGGUAAUGGCCCACCAAGGCUACGAU
rnacentral:rRNA from 1 species